GACGAACGCUGGCGGCGUGCUUAACACAUGCAAGUCGAACGGAAAGGCCCUGCUUUUGUGGGGUGCUCGAGUGGCGAACGGGUGAGUAACACGUGAGUAACCUGCCCUUGACUUUGGGAUAACUUCAGGAAACUGGGGCUAAUACCGGAUAGGAGCUCCUGCUGCACGGUGGGGGUUGGAAAGUUUCGGCGGUGGGGGCUGGACUCGCUGGUUAUCCGCUUGUUGGUGGGGUAGUGGCUUACCAAGGCUUUGACGGGUAGCCGGCCUGGGAGCGUGACCGGCCACAUUGGGACUGCGAUACGGCCCAGACUCCAACGGGAGGCAGCAGUGGGGAAUAUUGCACAAUGGGCGGAAGCCUGAUGCAGCAACGCCGCGUGCGGGAUGACGGCCUUCGGGUUGUAAACCGCUUUCGCAUGUGACGAAGCGUGAGUGACGGUAAUGGGUAAAGAAGCACCGGCUAACUACGUG
rnacentral:rRNA from 1 species